AUUAAUCCAAGGGCUGCGAUUAAUUCUUCAAACUCUUGCCUUUUAAAACCACCAACUAACCCUAAUUUUUAUGCUCCCUAAAACAGUCGUAACCUCUCCCUCUUUAUCUCUCUUCUCUCCCUUCUCUUUAAAACUAUUCAGCCUCUGCCACCUCAUAAUCUCCAUCAUCUCCCACAAUUGCUCAACUACCACAAGCCAUAUUGCUGGUCUCUCUCCUCUCCACCAUCCCUCUACUAUCCCUCCAACCAUGGCCAACCACCACUGGCCCAUAAAAUGCCUCCAAACAGUGUCGCCUCCACUGCUUCCUCCGUCAGCCACCAUAUUUUUUUCGCCAUGCAGCCAGCACAGCCACCACAACAACAAUUAUACCUCGUCGUUGCUGCUCUGGUCAAAUCCACAAAAAUUUCAUGACAUAUUCUUAAGAAUCCAUCAAAGGACUGGCCAUACUAUUACUCUUACUUAGUGACUUGGAUUCAGGGAUAACUUUUGAGUCAGAUUGAAGUGGUUUGCAGAGUGACCAACAUUUCCACAAAUCGCACACCAAGAAUGAGCCUAUUGAACUACAUUUUCUUGAGCCUGGUGUUGAUUUACACUUAACUUACUGAAUUGUGUCAUUAUUUUAUUCUUAAAGGAGUUUAACUGAGCGGCCAAUAUUGUGACACUGUCAUCCUUAAUAAUACCAGUUGGCUUCUUCACUGCACUUCUGGAAAUAUCACAAUCCCAAUUGGGAUUACCUUGUGCAAUUUAAUUUAGGAGAGUAUAAAACUAAUCAUAAGUUUUCUCCAAAGCUUGACCACCUGAAAUUGAAUCUAGCAAUUUUUUUGUAUUAUAGCCAAGAUCUUCAACAAAAGUAUUAGCUAAUACCUCGUUCGUCCAUUGGUGAUGUGGACAAUCCCUGAGAAGAGACUUGAAUCUCUACUGUGUUUGAUAGAGAUUCUUAUUUGGCUUAUAUUUGAAAGUCAAGAUCUCACUAGUCAAUCUUGCAGUUUUUUCCAGAAGGAAAAAAUUGGAUGAGGAACUUCUUUGCUAAGUCUAUAGAGUUAUGAUGGAGUUUGAAGGUUCUAUCUCCAACCAUUUCUUCGUUUCCCCCAAAAGUGAGAAGGGGAAAAAAGUGUUCCUUAUGUAAUCAGUGAAGACUCCAGUGGUAAUGAAAGUGUCACUAAUAUCUAAGAAUUUCUAUAGAUGAACCUGUGGAUCCUCAUGUGACAAUUGCACCAUGUUCUACUUUAGCUCAAAUCUACUCACAGGCUCCGAUCUGCAGAUGCUAGAGGUGAUAUUAGUUGCUAGUGGGAUUAUCACUUUGGAUACUAUCCUGCAGACUAGUUGUACUUCAACUGUGAUUGCAAGAAUGGCUUCACUUAUUUGAACUUGGGGAUGGGGAGAUAAGUGUUGAUUCUCUCCUUAAUUAAAGCAAGCAUCACUCAAGUUUGGGAUAUGGUUCAACCAAAUUUCUUUUCCUUUCUAGAGUAGUUGAAAUUCAUACCUGUACCUAUAAGUUUAGAAGCUAAUACCAAGUUGUCAGUGCUCAUAAAACAAAAUAUCAAAACUAAAAAUUAUAAAGUUAUCAAUUUUUAAGUCCCCAACAAUUGUGCUUCCAACUUGUUGUGUCCUAUCGCACACACAAUUGUACGUUGUUGCUCAAGUUUUUAAGCCUGAUAUGGCAUGGAAACACGACACUUUUGAUGCAUAAAACCGAAAAGUUAUGCAUGAACUUACAAUAUUUUGUUGGAUAUGAUACAUUUUGGUGUGAAUUGCAGGUAAAACAGGUCUAUAAUAGUGUUUGAACAAAAAAAAAGAAAAAAACCAACUUUGAGCAAUACACGAGUCACCGCUUGAAUUGUAACCAUCCAAUAUGACUCGUAUAUUGAACGAUACUUACAACAGAACCAUGGGUCAACCUAUAUAGUCAACUAUGGGGAAGAUACGACUCAAGUAUUUGAGUCGUGAG